rnacentral:rRNA from 1 species
GCUAAUACCGCAUAACGUCGCAAGACCAAAGAGGGGGACCUUCGGGCCUCUUGCCAUCGGAUGUGCCCAGAUGGGAUUAGCUAGUAGGUGGGGUAACGGCUCACCUAGGCGACGAUCCCUAGCUGGUCUGAGAGGAUGACCAGCCACACUGGAACUGAGACACGGUCCAGACUCCUACGGGAGGCAGCAGUGGGGAAUAUUGCACAAUGGGCGCAAGCCUGAUGCAGCCAUGCCGCGUGUAUGAAGAAGGCCUUCGGGUUGUAAAGUACUUUCAGCGGGGAGGAAGGGAGUAAAGUUAAUACCUUUGCUCAUUGACGUUACCCGCAGAAGAAGCACCGGCUAACUCCGUGCCAGCAGCCGCGGUAAUACGGAGGGUGCAAGCGUUAAUCGGAAUUACUGGGCGUAAAGCGCACGCAGGCGGUUUGUUAAGUCAGAUGUGAAAUCCCCGGGCUCAACCUGGGAACUGCAUCUGAUACUGGCAAGCUUGAGUCUCGUAGAGGGGGGUAGAAUUCCAGGUGUAGCGGUGAAAUGCGUAGAGAUCUGGAGGAAUACC